rnacentral:lncRNA from 1 species
GUGGGAUCAUUAUUUCUGUUCCAUAAGCUAGAUUAAAUGACGGUUCUCCUAUUAGUAUGCGAAGAGUCAUCCGAUACGCCCAUAAGAUCAGAUAUAGUUCUUCCAUCCAGAGGCUUUUAGCUUCAUUCAGUCGGAUUUUGAGUCUAUGCAGAAUUAUUCGGUUGGUUACCUCCACCUCUCUGUUUGAUUGUGGAUGGCCGACUGAUGUGAGUUUGUGCGUAAUAUAAAAUUUCACACAAAACUUUUUGAAGUUCUGAUUAUCGAAUUGUCG